rnacentral:rRNA from 1 species
GCAGAGAGGUCACACCCGUUCCCAUACCGAACACGGAAGUUAAGCUCUCUAGCGCCGAUGGUAGUUGGGACCUUGUCCCUGUGAGAGUAGGACGUUGCCAAGCA